rnacentral:lncRNA from 1 species
CAAAAAUGCCAUGAGCAGAUUUAUAAGAGCCAUAGACUUGUAAGUGGAGGUGAAUAGGAAGGAAGGUUUUCUCAACCUGCUCGCUGCUCCUAUGAGAUGCCUGUGGAGUUCUGAGUCUGUGUGGCUAAAACCAUGAAGUUCUAAUUACUGGAACAGUGCUGGCUUGAUGGAAGAUCUGUCUGGAGAGGUCCUGACUCUGCCCAGCAGUUUAGUACCCCAGUUAUACAGCCUGGGUCUCUCCACAGACCUGAGUGGAGGAGAAGCCCCCGUGGGAGUUUUGUUGCUUGCUGAUCCACUUCACAAUCUUGGAUGCUGUGGACAGGUCUGAUGAAGACAGGUCCCGUGUGGGCCGGGAAGACUCAGAGGUUAGAUAGGCGAGAAGCACGAGCGAUUACCUGAAAAAUGCUGUAUGCGUCAUUAUCGCCCAGAGAGUGCUUUGGUGUGUACACGAUCCCAUUGUGAGUGAUGUCUUCUCCGCUGAUGCAGUUCUCAUGGUCUUUGUACACUGGGACACCAAAGAAGGCACCCUGGACAGUCUUUCCUGGCAGCAAACUGUAGAUCUGUGCAUUGGAGGAGAACAAAGGGCUGGACCUGGAGGCAAGAUGCAGAGGCUAACCAUAAAACCCGUGAAGCAUCCGUGAAGCCUGUAAAUGAGGACGCUUCUCUGGAAACACAAAGGCAUUUUAAAGACAUGUUUGAGAAGAAACUGUUCUUGCCCACUCUUGAGACCAGUAAAGUGUCUGAUUUCAGGGAAAGCACAAAAGACCUAGCAUCUUACACAAUCACCUUGAGUUGUGGCCGGCUAGCAAAUGGACCGGAUGAAAUUUAACUUCUCUAAAACGUAUUGUAGCAAAAUUAACCCAUCCUAUUUGUGUGUUAUCAUUUGUAAAAUGAAGUGAUAAGACAGA